CACAGAGGCAGGCCUCCGGGGGAGGAGGCCGGAGCCCCGCAGGCACAGCGCCUGGACUUCCCACCCAGCAUGACGCAUGGGGAGAAGUCUUCCUCCCCUUCAACGGCAGGAAGAUGGAUGUCGGCAUCAUAUGGACUCCCUGGACUCAGAAAUUCAAUUUGGGAGACAGACUUCUAGAACGGAGUUCACAUUUAAUAUCAAUAACUCAGGAAAUAUCUGUCCCCUGAGAUUCCCAGAAACGGAACUGCCGGACGAGCGUCCUCAGGUUCAUUCCCAGGGAAACUGGCUGAUGGGAAUUAAUUAAUGGACCCAAUAGGGAGGCUGCCGGCGUCGUCCCACCGCAAUCUGAGCUCUGGCCUCAUCUGCAUGUCGCCUUUAUUCUAAACAAUAGCACUGCUGAGAUUUCAGCCUGAAAUUGUUAGCUCAUUAAAGAGGACACAAUCGUA